UCUGGCUAUCAGAGUGCACAAUGGGAUCAGUCAGGAACUUGCAGUACCGAGCACUCUUUGAUGUAGCUCUUAUUACAGCCUAGGUGCUGAACCAGGGAGGCCUUUGUCAGACCAAGUAGGUGGGACAUCACUUUCUGAAGCUUCAGUCUCAGUUUUGUCUUCCAGCUGGAUGCUACAUCCAAGGUUGUACAGGACAUUGAACAGAUGUUUUUGAAUUUGAGUCCAUAGUCAUGAUUGGAGACUGUCAAUAUGGAACACCACAGUGAAAAGCUUCAGGAGAAGGAGGGAGACAUAGUGAGGGAUUUCAGGCUCCUCUGGGAGUGGAUCACCCCCACCAGCACUCAGACAGACCACCAGUGAUCCUGCUGCAUUUCACUGAGAGAAGACUGCCACCAGCAGUGGCCAUUGCCAAGCUAUUGGAUGGGUUUCACUUCUACCCAUUAGACAAACUGUUGGCCACUUUUCUCCUGGGGGCACAUGUUGGAGAAGCCUCUUGACUGAUCCCAUGCUGAAGAACUGCUUUUGUACUAAAAUGAGAUAUAAUUAUCAUGAGACAGAACAAAUACAC